GUGAGCGAAACAGCAGCACAUGUACUAAAACUGGAACCAUACAGAAAAGAUCAGCAUGGCCCCUGCACAAGUAUGAGACGCAAAUGAGUGAAGCGUUCCCUAUUUUA